UAUAUAGCCGUGCGAAUUACAUUGGAAAGUCAGAAAGGUGCUAAACAUGAAAAGUUCCAUUAUCUGUAUUGUAUUGGUGCUGGCGUUAAUAGGCUUGUCAAUGGCUUAUGAUGAUUCCGUACUGUGCCAAGUCGAUUGGGAAAAAAAAUGUAUCUGUAGAAUGUACAUUUUUGAGUGGUGCCCUGAAGGCUAUUUCAGUUGCCCAUUUGGUGUUUUCAAUAAGUGCGCAGCCUUAUUGCGCACAUGCUGCAAACGGUAAAUCCCAGAUGGCGUUGCUUCUAGAUUAACACAGAUAUAGGUAGGUACCUACCUACCUAACAUCAAUUAAUCCAAUUAUUUUUGUUACAAUACCUAUCAAUAAAAUUGUUUAAAUUA